GGCCAGGAACUUCCUCAUGCCAUGGACAUGGCCAAAAAAUUAUAAAUUGUACAAUGAAACACAAAACUAAAAUUCUAAUUUAAAUCUUCAGACAAAUCAAGUAUACUUCAAUUAAAAAAACUUCAGAGUUUAAAAAUUUAUAGAAUCCAUUAAAAAGAUACAGCAAAAAAUAAUUGCAAAAUAAGCAGUUUCCUGGAAACUAACACCAAAAUUUAAUAAGAUUAAAAGAUAAAUUAUAAAUUUUGCAGUCAGAGUUAACAUGUGGUUCUUGGCCUACAUUUGUAGGCUCUGGUACUGAUGUCAUUUUAAUUAUCAAAGCCGUUGUGGUAUUAUUUUCAUCUGUGUGGUUUAGCUGUUGCUAUCAUGGCUCCACCUGUCCUCUGCUGGUGCUAUCUCAGGGUGCAUAAGGGGUUUCCCUAGGCAUGGCUGCCAGGUAUUUCUCAGUGGGUAAGAGUUAAUUGGAUUCCCUACCAGUGCCUCUCAUUCAUGGUGUUUCAGGGUGGGGAGAAGAGUUUUGUGCUUAUAGGGAUGAAGGUGCUUCUCAGACUGAGCUUCUUAUUGUAGGUGAGUCCCUCGCUCCACCUGUUCAAAACAGUGUUACUUGGCAGGGACUAAGGGUAUGGAUCCCACUAAGACAAAAAACCUUUCUGGACUUACUGUGAUUUUGUACCUUAUGUGGGUUCUGCCUGUCAACUCUGGUGACUCUGGGCAAGGUAGGAGAGACUUAAUCACAUAGGGACUGAGAGGCAUAAUGGGCCAUCUGCCAUAUCUUGUCUCUUCUGCCAGCUCCGCCUGCCCAUUUUGGAAUCUCUUGAAGAAUAAGGAGUAUUUCAGGGCUGCAGGUGAUGAGGGAGCCUCCCCUGGUUGGUUGGGGAUCAAGUGGUUCAGGGUUCCCAUUUGAUCCCCUUUCUGGUGGUUUCAGGCUCCCUUGGUGUCAUCCAUCUACUUCUGUUUGCUAAUUUAGGAUUUGGAAAUGCUUGAUCUGGGUGGACUUCUUCUGUUUGGUGAGGGACACAAGGCACCGUCACAACUGUGUUUGUUCCUCCAAUCCUGGUGUCCUAAACCAGCUGUCCUUCUUACAACAUUUCAGAGUUCAUUGGUUUUGUCUGUACCCUUUCUGGGACAUAUAGUUAUUCUUAGGGGAGUGAUGCAGGGGGAAAGGAUUCUACACCUUCAUGUCCAGAUUAGAAGUCUCCUAACUGACUUUUUAGCAUGUAUUGAAAUUAUAUAAUAAUUCAAAAAAUGUUUAAACAAGUAGUUGAAUUGAGGGAGAAGUAAAAUAAAAAUAAAAAUCUUUGAUAAGUUAAUCUUACUGAUUCUUAGUUUUCUUAUCUACAUAUCAAGCUUAAUAAUAUUUACCUCAUCAUGUCAUUGCAAUGAUUAGCCAGAAAAUAUUUCCAAACACCUAGAAUGAUUCCUGACAUAUAAGGGAAACUCACUAAUGGUACUCACUAAUGAUACAUUGUCAUUUUUAUUAUUGCUUUUUAUAUAAGUGUGAUCAUAAUAAUUAUGAAGAGAAGGAGGAAGAGAUGAAGGGUUCUGCUUUCCCAUUGGUACCAUUGCUAAGGCAAAAGAGAAAACAAAAUAAAGCACCCUAUUUCUGAAAUCAGGUUCACUGAUAAUAUGAAUUACAGAAGCCUUUUUGUAAAAGUGACAAUAUUGAUGUACCAGUCAUGCUGAUACAGAUAUCCUAAAAGUAGACUGUAAUAUGUUCUGUUCUAAUAUAUAAUGAGAUAUUCCUUAGGAUAUUUCAACAUGAAUACCUCAAGGAAUGAAAAACACUUUGAAAUUAACUUCUUCACAAAGUAAAUAAUUAUUUCCUAAGUGAUAAAUUCUUAGUGAUCUCUUAAAUUUUUAAUCUUUAUAUUUAUUCAUUAAACAAAACAUGUACCUGGUAUAUGCAUACAUUUUGGAUGUGGAACAUAUAUAAUGGUGUAAGGUCCUACUACAUAAGAAAGCCUAACAAUUAGUAAACCAGAUAUAUCACUAACUAUAAUGUUUAACUAUUAUAUCACUUCCAUUCCAUUUUCAUAAGAGAGGAAGAAACAAAUGCUGAACUUGUGCUGGGGACAUAGUGAUAAAAAUGGCUUUCCAGUGGAGUUGAUUUCCAAAUAUGAAAAAAAGGAUAAGCAGAGGUUUGAUGAUGGCAGUGGUAAGAGAGAUGUUUCAGAUAUGUGCAAAAGCACAGGGGUAUAAAGUAAUUGUGUAAAUAACCUAAAAAUUGGUCUGGGGUGGUGAGAGCUCAAAUUUCAUGGGAGUGGAAGAUCUUUGAUAUCUAAAAGAAUUAUGAAAUUCUAGGUUGGAGCCAGUAUUUAAAAUACUUUGAUGCCACUUUUAAAAGUUGAGAUUCAUUUUGAGGACAAAGAGAAGCCACAAAUAGUUUUUGAGAAAGAAACAGCAAUUUGAUUUUUAGUUUUAGCUUACAACUACAUAUGAAUUGAUAGGAGAGGAUAGAAAUUGAAAUACAGAGUCCACUUGGAAGUCUACAGAACAAUUCAGAAAUAAUCCAGAAAUGAUAAGGACCUGAAUUCAAAUAUUUACUGCAGGAAUAAAAAGGAGCGUGUGGCAAAUGAUACUAUUCAGAAAGUAAAAAUGUAACUUACAGAAUGGGAGUGAGUAUUUUCAGAUAACAUAUCUGAUAAAGGACUUGUAUUAAGAAUAUAUAUAAAGAACAUAAUACAAUAAUACAAGUUCCCAUUGUGGCUCAGUGGUAAUGAACCCAAAUAGGGUAUGUAGGAUUGUGGGUUCGAUCCCUGGCCUUGUUCAAUGGGUUAAGGAUCUGGUAUUGUCCUGAGCUGCAGUUUCGGUUCUGGAUGCAGCUUAGAUCCUGUGUUGCUGUGGCUGUGGCAUAGGCUGUAAGGGACAUGUCCAAUUCGACCCCUAGUCUGAGAAUUUCCAUAUGCCAUGGUUCUGGCCUUAAAAAGCAAAUAUAUAUAUUUAUAUAUAAAACCCAAUUAAAAUAUCAGAAAAUUAUAUUUCAAAGGACAUAUAUAAAUAACCAUUGAACACGUAAAAAGAUACUCAACAUGAUUAGCCAUUGCAGAAAUGAAAAUCAAGACUGCAAGGUGAUAUCCCUUCAUACCUACUAGAAUAGUUAUGGUAAGACAGAUAAUGGCAAUUAUUGCAAAGAUGUGAAGAAACUGAAAUUAUCAUACAUUGCUAGCAGGCAUGUAAAAUGUUGAAGCCACUUUGGAGAAGAGUUUGGCAGUUCUUCAAAUGUUAAUCAUAUAAUUGCCAUAUGACUUGGCAAUUCUAAUCCUAGGGAAAUGAAAGCAUAUCUUAGGUAUAUACUCAGGAAAAACAUACAUCCCUGAAAACCUUUGUACAUGAAUAAUUCAUUGCAUCAUUCAUACUAGCCAAAAAUCAAAUAAUCAAAAUAGC
rnacentral:lncRNA from 1 species